GAAAUGCGAUAAGUAGUGUGAAUUGCAGAAUUCAGUGAAUCAUCGAAUCUUUGAACGCACAUUGCGCCCUUUGGUAUUCCUUAGGGCAUGCCUGUUCGAGCGUCAUCUAAACCUUCAAGCCCUGCUUGGUGAUGGGUGCCUGUCCCGCCUCCGCGCGCGGACUCACCUCAAAUCCAUUGGCGGCCCCCGCGUCGGCCACGAGCGCAGCAGAAACGCGAACUCGUGAGCCCGUCCGGGCGGCUCCCAGAAGCUACACCCACCCAGUUUGAACUCGGAUCAGGUAGGGAUACCCGCUGAACUUAAGC
rnacentral:misc_RNA from 1 species